rnacentral:rRNA from 1 species
UCUUAAGGCUGAGACACGACGUCGAGCUACUACGGUAGUGAAGUCAUUGAUGCCAUGCUUCCAGGAAAAGCCUCUAAGCUUCAGAUUGUAAGGAAUCGUACCCCAAACCGACACAGGUGGUCGGGUAGAGAAUACCAAGGCGCUUGAGAGAACUCGGGUGAAGGAACUAGGCAAAAUGGUACCGUAACUUCGGGAGAAGGUACGCUCUUGAUGGUGAAGUCCCUUGCGGAUGGAGCUGACGAGAGUCGCAGAUACCAGGUGGCUGCAACUGUUUAUUAAAAACACAGCACUGUGCAAAAUCGUAAGAUGACGUAUACGGUGUGACGCCUGCCCGGUGCCGGAAGGUUAAUUGAUGGGGUUAGCGUAAGCGAAGCUCUUGAUCGAAGCCCCGGUAAACGGCGGCCGUAACUAUAACGGUCCUAAGGUAGCGAAAUUCCUUGUCGGGUAAGUUCCGACCUGCACGAAUGGCGUAAUGAUGGCCACGCUGUCUCCACCCGAGACUCAGUGAAAUUGAAAUCGCUGUGAAGAUGCAGUGUACCCGCGGCUAGACGGAAAGACCCCGUGAACCUUUACUACAGCUUGGCACUGAACAUUGAACCUACAUGUGUAGGAUAGGUGGGAGGCUUUGAAGACGUGACGCCAGUUGCGUUGGAGCCGUCCUUGAAAUACCACCCUUGUAUGUUUGAUGUUCUAACGUUGGCCCCUAAUCGGGGUUGCGGACAGUGCCUGGUGGGUAGUUUGACUGGGGCGGUCUCCUCCCAAAGAGUAACGGAGGAGCACGAAGGUGGGCUAAUCACGGUUGGACAUCGUGAGGUUAGUGCAAUGGCAUAAGCCCGCUUAACUGCGAGAAUGACGGUUCGAGCAGGUGCGAAAGCAGGUCAUAGUGAUCCGGUGGUUCUGAAUGGAAGGGCCAUCGCUCAACGGAUAAAAGGUACUCCGGGGAUAACAGGCUGAUACCGCCCAAGAGUUCAUAUCGACGGCGGUGUUUGGCACCUCGAUGUCGGCUCAUCACAUCCUGGGGCUGAAGUCGGUCCCAAGGGUAUGGCUGUUCGCCAUUUAAAGUGGUACGCGAGCUGGGUUUAGAACGUCGUGAGACAGUUCGGUCCCUAUCUGCCGUGGGCGUUGGAAGAUUGAAGGGGGCUGCUCCUAGUACGAGAGGACCGGAGUGGACGAACCUCUGGUGUUCGGGUUGUGUCGCCAGACGCAUUGCCCGGUAGCUAAGUUCGGAAUCGAUAACCGCUGAAAGCAUCUAAGCGGGAAGCGAGCCCUGAGAUGAGUCUU